rnacentral:lncRNA from 1 species
CAUUUUUUAAGAUAACAAAAGAAAAAAGAAGGAAAGAAGAACCCAAAACUUUCCACCACAUCUAUCAAAAAACGAGUUAUCCUAAGAAAAAUGAAUUGAACAAAUAAAGAAGGAAGCUCCCAUCUAAACAAGUGAUCUCUUAACUGCUCUGUCUCAUAUCGUCGCCAAAAAUCCUAGGCAAUGGCUUAGACACCUUCCACCUAACCAAGUGACCUCUUAAUGCGUCUUCUGAACUAGACAAACAGAGGUAAUAAAGAGAAAUACAAGACACGCUUGAAUACGAGUAACCCAUUCAUUGAGAAAAUGUUUUGAAUCACCCACUCAAAGCACAUAAAGUAAAAGGUGAUAGAGAAGAAAAGAACCCAGAGAACUUUGAAGUGGUUCAGCAAUGUGCCUACUCCAUGGAGCCACAUGCAAAAUUUUUCAGUAUAUCUAAAACUGCUCCUAUUACUAGGUUUUUUUCAUAAAUACAUAAAGGGAGAAACCCCAAUUUUACAAGAAUGCUCUUCCCAUUUCACGGACCUAAUUGUAGAUAGCAAGUGCCUAUUUCACCGGACUUCAACUUCUGCUGUGAAAAAGGACAAGUCCAGACAAAUACUAAAAAACAAAAAUACU